CAGGAGAUAAAAUGGAGAGCAAGAUCGAAAUUAGACACUCUUCCAAACAGCAUGGCAUGAUGAGGACCACUGCUCCUGGAUCCUAAUAGCAGGAGGCUGACUUUUCUGUGAGAACAAUUCGCAUGUCAUGCAUGAUUGCUGUUUCCACUCCUAAGUUGAUAGGAUCACCAAGUCCCAGCCAGGAUUAGAGUCUUCUUCGAUUUAUGGCUUAUUCUUUUCUGGUCUGGGUUAUUCAAAGUGCUUCUGAUAUCUGAGGUCAUAAUAACCAUCUUGUGACCAGAAAGCCACCAACAUGAGGAGAAAAGCCAAAGGGUUGGGGAUGGUGAAUCUGAAGAACAGAAUGAGACUAGAUCCCAGAGACCCUGGUGAGUAGCUGAACAACGCCAGCAACCACCCACUCUGAACUCAUGAUUAUGUUAGAAAAAUAAAUAUUUAUUUGAAGCUACA